GAGCGCGUAGCUCAGGGGGAGAGCGCUUGCUUGACAUGCAAGAGGUCGGUGGUUCAAAUCCACUCGUGCUCA
rnacentral:tRNA from 5 species